GGUUGUAGCUCAGUGGUAGAGUGCUUGUCUAGCAUCUGUGAGGCACUGGGUUCAAUUCUCAGCACCA
rnacentral:tRNA from 1 species